UUUUUUGAGGGUUUGAUCCUGGCCCAGGAUGAACGCUGGCGGCGUGCCUUAGGCAUGCAAGUGGAACGAGUCACCGCAAGGUGACAAGUCGCGAACGGCUGAGUAUAAAGUAGGAAUCUACCCAAUGGUACGGAAUACCCCCGAGAAAUCGGGGCUAAUACCGUAUAAUCUCGCGAGAGAAAAGGACGUAACUGUCCGCCGAUGGAGGAGCCUACUCCCCAUCAGCUUGUUGGUAGGGUAACGGCCUACCAAGGCUAUGACGGGUAGGGGGCGUGAGAGCGUGGCCCCCCAGAAUGGCACUGAGACACGGGCCAUACACCUACGGGUGGCAGCAACCGGGAAUCGUGCGCAAUGGACGAAAGUCUGACGCCGCGACGCCGCGUGAGGGAUUGAAGGCG
rnacentral:ncRNA from 1 species